rnacentral:rRNA from 1 species
CACAAGCGGUGGAUUAGUGUGGAUUAAUUCGAUGCAACGACGAAAAACCUUACCUACCCUUGACAUGUCCUGAAGCCUGGAGAGAUCCGGGUGUGCCCGAAAGGGAACGGGAACACAGGUGCUGCAUGGCUGUCGUCAGCUCGUGUCGUGAGAUGUUGGGUUAAGUCCCGCAACGAGCGCAACCCUUGUCAUUAGUUGCUACAUUUGGUUGGGCACUCUAAUGAGACUGCCGGUGACAAACCGGAGGAAGGUGGGGAUGACGUCAAGUCCUCAUGGCCCUUAUGGGUAGGGCUUCACACGUAAUACAAUGGCGCGUACAGAGGGUUGCCAAGCCGCGAGGUGGAGCCAAUCCCAGAAAGCGCGUCGUAGUCCGGAUUGCAGUCUGCAACUCGACUGCAUGAAGUCGGAAUCGCUAGUAAUCGCGGAUCAGCAUGUCGCGGUGAAUACGUUCCCGGGUCUU